GAUGAAGAACGCAGCGAAAUGCGAUAAGUAAUGUGAAUUGCAGAAUUCAGUGAAUCAUCGAAUCUUUGAACGCAUCUUGCGCUCCUUGGUAUUCCUUGGAGCAUGCCUGUUUGAGUAUCAUGAGCAAAUCUCAAAGUCAAUUCCUUUUGUUGAUUCAAUUGGUUUUGCUUUGGACUUGGAGGCCUUGCAGAUUUCACAGUCUGCUCCUCUUAAAUGCAUUAGCUGGAUCUCAGUAAUUAUGCUUGGUUCCACUCGGCGUGAUAAGUAUCACUCGCUGAGGACACUGUUAAAAAGGUGGCCAGGAAAAUACUGAUUGAACCGCUUCUAACGGUCUAUUAAGUUAGACAUUUACCCUUAAGUUUGAUCUCAAAUCAGGUAGGACUACCCGCUGAACUUAAGCAUAUCAAUAAGCGGAGGA
rnacentral:misc_RNA from 1 species